UCCAGACUCCUACGGGAGGCAGCAGUGGGGAAUAUUGCACAAUGGGGGAAACCCUGAUGCAGCGACGCCGCGUGAGUGAGGAAGUAUUUCGGUAUGUAAAGCUCUAUCAGCAGGGAAGAAAAUGACGGUACCUGACUAAGAAGCCCCGGCUAACUACGUGCCAGCAGCCGCGGUAAUACGGAGGAUGCGAGCGUUAUCCGGAUUUAUUGGGUUUAAAGGGUGCGCAGGCGGGCUGUUAAGCCGGCGGUAAAAAGUCAGGGCUCAACCCUGUCGAGCCGUCGGAAUUGGCAGUCUUGAGUGGGCGAGAAGUAUGCGGAAUGCGUGGUGUAGCGGUGAAAUGCAUAGAUAUCACGCAGAACGCCGAUUGCGAAGGCAGCAUACCGGCGCCCAACUGACGCUGAGGCACGAAAGCGUGGGGAUCGAACAGGAUUAGAUACCCUCGUAU
rnacentral:rRNA from 1 species